UCAAAAUUAAUUGUCUUUAAGUACGACCGAAAUAUGACAACCUACUUGCAUAUUUUUCUUCAAAACAGUACAUACCAUAACACAAAGCUUCAAUAAGGCGUCUUCCUCGCUCGCAGAUUUCACUUGAAAUUGGAAAAAAAUUAUAUAACGAAUUUCAUGUUCAUAUCAACAAUGACGAACGUUGCAGUUAACACUCGGUUGUUCAUGUAUUGUUCAUUUCUUAAGCUCUAGAUCUUGUAUUCUCAUUGCCACAGUUUCUUCAAAAAUCAAAACAGCUUUGAACUUGUUUGAUUUUGUUUGAGGCAGUUGUUGAAAUUUUGUUUGGCUCAAAAUUGAAAAACAACUAAACAUGAUUACGUGAUUGAUAUGUUUGUAAUAUUUCGCCCAAUUGCAACGAGGAAUGAUGACGUGUGCACACGCGUUUAUCCAAUCAGAUUAAAGAAAUAUAGCGAUAGCACACGUCAGCAAAUUGGAAUUUGGAUUUUGGAAAUCGGAACUUUUUUAAAAAAAAUAAAACAGCG